AUUGAACGCUGGCGGCAGGCCUAACACAUGCAAGUCGGACGGUAGCACAGAGGAGCUUGCUCCUUGGGUGACGAGUGGCGGACGGGUGAGUAAUGUCUGGGGAUCUGCCCGAUAGAGGGGGAUAACCACUGGAAACGGUGGCUAAUACCGCAUAACGUCGCAAGACCAAAGAGGGGGACCUUCGGGCCUCUCACUAUCGGAUGAACCCAGAUGGGAUUAGCUAGUAGGCGGGGUAAUGGCCCACCUAGGCGACGAUCCCUAGCUGGUCUGAGAGGAUGACCAGCCAGACUGGACCUGAGACACGGUCCAGACUCCUACGGGAGGCAGCAGUGGGGAAUAUUGCACAAUGGGCGCAAGCCUGAUGCAGCCAUGCCGCGUGUAUGAAGAAGGCCUUCGGGUUGUAAAGUACUUUCAGCGGGGAGGAAGGCGGUGAGGUUAAUAACCUCGCCGAUUGACGUUACCCGCAGAAGAAGCACCGGCUAACUCCGUGCCAGCUGCCGCGGUAA
rnacentral:rRNA from 1 species